UACAGAGGUGGCAAGCGUUGUUCGGAAUUACUGGGCGUAAAGGGCGCGUAGGCGGUUUCGUAAGUCCUGUGUGAAAUCCCCCGGCUCAACUGGGGAACUGCACAGGAAACUGCGAGGCUUGAGUUCGGGAGAGGGAAGCGGAAUUCCGGGUGUAGCGGUGAAAUGCGUAGAUAUCCGGAGGAACACCGGUGGCGAAGGCGGCUUCCUGGACCGACACUGACGCUGAGGAGCGAAAGCGUGGGGAGCGAACAGG
rnacentral:rRNA from 1 species